GCUUUAUUGGAAUGAAUCCUAUUCCUUCCCUAUCUUCAAAGCUUUUUACUUUUUUUAUAUAUCCUUUGCUUGGUUCUUCUCCUCCUCCUUUGAACUAGGGGUUUCAACUUUCAAGGCCUAAAAGUAGCAGAGAAGAGAGGAUUAAGGGAUUGAAGAGCAUGAACGACUGGGCUGCUCCUUUGAUAGCUGCUGCGCUGUUUGCAUUUCUAUCACCAGGAUUGGUGUUUCAAAUUCCUGGGAAAGAAGGGCCUCUUGAUUUCAUGAAAAUGAAGACUAGUAUAGCUUCCAUAUUCGUACACAUGGUGAUCUAUGGUUUGCUUCUUAUUUUAUUUCUUGUUAUUCUUCACAUCCAUCUCUAUGUCUAGGAUUUGGCAAAUAACACUUCUGCUGAUGAUAUAUUUUCUGC
rnacentral:misc_RNA from 1 species